CGGGCGGUCGCGGGGUGAAAGCCUCGAGGAAAGUCCGGACUCCACAGGGCAGGGUGCUGGAUAACGUCCAGGCGGGGCAACCCGACGGAUAGCGCCACAGAAAAGAAAAGACCCGCCGCCUCCAGGCGAGCGGGUUAAGCUGAAACGGUGGUGUAAGAGACCACCAGCGGUCCGGUGACGGGCCGGCUUGGCAAGCCCCACCCGGAGCGAUGCCAAAUAGGGGAGUUUGCGGUGGCCCGCCGCGUAAGACUCCCGGGUAGGCAGCUAGAGGCCCACGGCAACGCGGGCCCCAGAUAGAUGGCCGCCGCCGCCCGCUUCAGGGCGGCACAGAAUCCGGCUUACAGGCUGGCUUUCCCC
rnacentral:RNase_P_RNA from 1 species